GAUGAAGAACGCAGCGAAACGCGAAAGUUAAUGCGAAUUGCAGAAUCAGUGAAUCAUCGAGUCUUUGAACGCACAUUGCGCCCCCUGGUAUUCCGGGGGGCAUGCCUGUCCGAGCGUCAUUGCUGCCCUCAAGCACGGCUUGUGUGUUGGGCCGCCGUCCCCGGUUUCCCCCGGGGACGGGCCCGAAAGGCAGCGGCGGCACCGCGUCCGAUCCUCGAGCGUAUGGGGCUUUGUCACCCGCUCUGUAGGCCCGGCCGGCGCCAGCCGACACCCAACUUUAUUUCUAAGGUUGACCUCGGAUCAGGUAGGGAUACCCGCUGAACUUAAGCAUAUCAAUAAGCGGAGGA
rnacentral:misc_RNA from 1 species